ensembl:lncRNA
AGUGCAGAACUGCUGUGCCAAGGUGUGGGGCCAAGGAUCUAGCAGAGAUCCACCUCUGCCUCUUCUCACCAAGUUCCUCUGCAAGUUCAGGCCUAACCACGUGGGGAAGCACCUGUGAUCCUCUUGGGCGAAUUUGUCUGCGAUCAACAUACCACAACACCAAUCAGUCCUGUGGCACAAAUGGAAGUAAAUUAUUACCUUGCUCACCGUACAGAAAGUAAGGAACUGAACUUCAUGACUGCAGGAAGAACUCAUCUGCGCCAGCCAAGGAUGUGAGUGGCAAAGGCAACCCCACAGCCACCUUCCCUGGGAGGAAGAGCAGGUGCUGGGCCCAUAGCCACCGCCACCAGUGUAACUCCUUUCACCUUCUCAAGGACUGAGAGUAGCAUCAGCCUUCUGCACCAAGAAGCCUUCUUGGGGGUGUCUCAACCAACACCAGCAGAGAAGGAAGCAAGACAACAGUGCAGAACACAUGCUUUAUGCCUUGCCAUUUGUCAAACAUCACUCGUGCUAAUGAAAUUGCAAUUCAUUCUGAGUAGGGAUAGGAUCAGUAAGUAAACUUACAGUAAAAAUCAGUUUAAAUAUUUAGUUACUUUGGCUAUUGAAAUAAGAACUCUGAACAAUUAGGGAGUCUAUGUCAUAAUCUUGUGGGGGAAAAUACUCAGUCUCCGGAAUACAUGGGUGUUCUGGGCUGCUGUGAAAUAAAUACAACUUUGCUCUAACAUUGUAACUAAACAGUUUAUGAAAAAUAACAGAAUAAAACAUAUUAAAAACCC